UCUGGUGACUAUAUCACAGGGGUCACACCUCUUCCCAUUCCGAACAGAGAAGUUAAGCCCUGUAGAGCUGAUGGUACUGCACAUCUCUUGUGUGGGAGAGUAAGUCGUCGCCAGUU
rnacentral:rRNA from 1 species